rnacentral:lncRNA from 1 species
UUUAAUGACUAUUUUACAGGAACUGUCAGCUUUCUAAAGCCCAGUGGCAUUGGGCGUCACUGUAUUACCAGCCUUUUUACACAAUUUGCCUGACUGUAAAUCGGAGGUUUAAAAGUACAAAAAAAAGCUCCUAUUUGGUUUAAUGACUGACUGAUAGAGGUUGAUUAAUCUUUCUAUGCUCAGAUGUUUUACUCACAAAGGUCAUCUAUUGUUUGUUUAAACUCACUUUUCUAAUUUUAGAAACACAAGAAAUAAGAAGACCAUUUGAGAAGAGCAGAUAGUUGCCUUAAGAAAAUCUCCAUUCAUCUGUACUCUGGGAUUUGGACUCAAAUCGUAAUUAUACAGUUCCAAGCAGCAUUUUACCCAAAAUCCAACAAAGACAGUUAUGGAGACUGUGCUUGAAAUUUUUGAAAUUCCUAACUAAGAGUCUGGUCUUCUGUGAUGUCUUAUGAGAUGCCUGUGUGAACUAACCAAGCCAUUCUGACAUAAGCACAAAGGGGUACAAGGAGUCAACUCCUCAUAGCGUGAUCCUUGACAAACAACAGAUGUGAGAAAAUGGCUAAAUACAGCCUUCUUCCAUCCUGAAGGUGAGCAAAUUAGAAUUCAUUUUAUGCACUUCAGAGGGUCCCCAGCAAAACAGAGUCCCAGAUAC